GCGAAGGUAGGGGCAGCAGCCGCGGUAAAACGGAUGGCGCAGUCGGUGGUCGGAUUCAGGGGGCGGAAAGGGGGCGUAGGCGGUCGGGGAAGUCGGACGGGAAAUCGCCGAGCGCAACUCGGAAACUGCGGCGGAUACUAUUCGGCGCGAGGAGUGGAGGGGGGACGGGAAUACUUGGGGUAGCAGUGAAAUGCGUAGAUAUCAAGUGGAACACCAGUGGCGAAGGCGAGUCCCUGGACAAUUCCUGACGCUGAGGCACGAAAGCUAGGGGAGCAAACAGGAUUAGAUACCCCUGUAGUC
rnacentral:rRNA from 1 species